GGGCCGGUGGCGGAAUCGGCAGACGCGGCAGACUUAAAAUCUGCUGCCCCGGGAGGGGCGUGCGGGUUCGACUCCCGCCCGGCCCACCU
rnacentral:tRNA from 2 species